GAUCAAGUAAAGGAAGAGCACAAGGCGGAUGCCUUGGCAGCAUAAGGCGAUGAAGGACGUAAUAACCUGCGAUAAGCCUCGGGGAGCUGGUAAAUAAGCUUCGAUCCGAGGAUUUCCGAAUGGGAAAACCCAAUACACAUAAGUGUAUUAUCUUAUACUGAAUACAUAGGUAUAAGAGGCAAACCUAGGGAACUGAAACAUCUAAGUACCUAGAGGAAAAGAAAUCAACAGAGAUUCCGGUAGUAGCGGCGAGCGAAACCGGACCAGCCCUUAAGCUUAUUUUAGUCCAGCAAAAUAUUCUGGAAAGUUUAGCCAUAGCAGGUGAUAGCCCUGUAUGCGAAAGACUAAUUUAAGUGAAAUCGAGUAGGUCGGGACACGAGAAAUCUUGACUGAACAUGGGGGGACCAUCCUCCAAGGCUAAAUACUCUAUGCUGACCGAUAGUGAACCAGUACCGUGAGGGAAAGGCGAAAAGAACCCCGGCGAGGGGAGUGAAAUAGAACCUGAAACCUUGUGCUUACAAGCAGUCGGAGCAGACUUGUUCUGUGACGGCGUACCUUUUGUAUAAUGGGUCAACGACUUAAUUUCAGUAGCAAGCUUAACCAUAUAGGGUAGGCGUAGGGAAACCGAGUCUUAAUAGGGCGCUCAGUUGCUGGAAUUAGACCCGAAACCGGGUGAUCUAUCCAUGGCCAGUGUGAAGGUCGAGUAACAUCGACUGGAGGCGCGAACCCACUUAUGUUGAAAAAUGAGGGGAUGAGCUGUGGAUAGGAGUGAAAGGCUAAUCAAACCCGGAGAUAGCUGGUUCUCUUCGAAAACUAUUUAGGUAGUGCCUCGUGUAUUACUGUAGGGGGUAGAGCACUGUUUCGGCUAGGGGGUCAUCCCGACUUACCAAACCGAUGCAAACUCCGAAUACCUACAAGUAUGAGCACGGGAGACAGACUGCGGGUGCUAACGUCCGUAGUCGAGAGGGAAACAACCCAGACUGUCAGCUAAGGUCCCAAAUUAUGAUUAAGUGGGAAACAAUGUGGGAAGGCACAAACAGCUAGGAGGUUGGCUUAGAAGCAGCCAUCCUUUAAAGAAAGCGUAAUAGCUCACUAGUCGAGUCGGCCUGCGUGGAAGAUAUAACGGGGCUAAAUCAUAAACCGAAGC
rnacentral:rRNA from 1 species